UACGUAGGGGGCAAGCGUUGUCCGGAUUUAUUGGGCGUAAAGAGCGUGUAGGCGGCUAGGUAGGUCUGCUGUGAAAACUCGAGGCUUAACCUCGAGCUGUCGGCGGAAACCAUCUGGCUAGAGUCCGGAAGAGGAGAAUGGAAUUCCCGGUGUAGCGGUGAAAUGCGCAGAUAUCGGGAAGAACACCCGUGGCGAAGGCGGCUCUCUGGGACGGUACUGACGCUGAGACGCGAAAGCGUGGGGAGCGAACAGG
rnacentral:rRNA from 1 species